GCGACUUUGCUAGUAUGAAUGCAUGAAUCUUCACCAGUUGUUAUAUAUGCUAAGAUUCUGCAUGUUAACUUCUGACCUUGUGUGAGAAGCGCAAGGUCACUCUUUCAUUGUAGUUUCAUUGCAGUUUUUCUCACUGUGCUAAUCAAGUUCAUCUGAUACUCUCAGCAAGAAAAAGUAGAAUCUGAUACAAAAUACAAUUAUGUUACGUACCCAGAAAGUAAUUUCAGGAAUGCACCUACAUAACUGUAAUACUGUUUUGCAUUACAUAACUUGCAAUUUGUAAUUGUUCAAGCACUACAGCUCGAGCAUUUCAGAUCUUCCGUAAGGAUGUGUUAUUGCACAAGCACUGUCAAUAAAUGACAUUUUGUCCAAUAUGUUUUGCUUUUAUAAGUACCUAAAUGUCGAUGUUUAGAUAAAUUCCUUUUUACAGACUAUUAGAGUGAUAAAAUAUUUUUUAGCAAAAAGUUUAAAAAUAGCGGAGCGGCUGAUGAUUGCAAAGGAGGUAUGCUGGUGCCACUGGCCAUAGGAUCAGAUUCUGGAAAAGGGUGAAAGGUCAUCAAGAACAAGCAAGAGAAUGAAUUAGUGGCGACUUUGCCAGCAUGACUGCAUGAACCUCCAUUAUUUGCUGCAUAUGUAAAGGGUCUGAUACAUUCUCUUUAAGAAAUAGUACAUCAGUUACAAAGUAGAGUAGGUUACAUUAGAGCCAGAAAGAAACUUAAGGAAGCUCAGUGGAUCUUACAUUUAAAGAUUAUAGUACAUGACUGUAGUACGGAUGUUUGGCUCAAGCACUACAACUUGAGCAUUACAGAUCUUCCGUAAGGAUGGCAAAACGAGAAUCCAAUAGUGGCCCAAAAUGCCAACACAAAGCCAGCAGCUGUGACCACAUAUAGAACUGGGUCACUGGGUGUCUCUUCCACAUCUUUCCCCGCAGCAGGAUCUAGACCGGGAGCAGCACAGGUAUUCCCCUGAGUAAUGUUGUGAAGGUUGGUGUUGGCUAGGUAGCUGUCCAUGUUGAAUGAGCUGAGCUGUCCAUAGUUUGGUAUGCAUCCUGACAAGUUGUUGUAUGCCACAGAGAAUGCCCCCAAUGAUGAUAACUGGGUUAACUGCCAAGGUAUUGGUCCGCUCAGCUCAUUGUGGGAGAGGUCCAAGCUUUCUAUUUCCUCCAUGCCGCCAAAGGUCAUUGGGAUUGGACCAACAAAUAAAUUGUUGGACAGGUUCAGGGAUUUGAUAUGGCUCAGAUUUCCAAGCUCCCAAGGAAUUUCUCCAUCCAGCAUGUUUACAGACAGGUCAAUCCCUGACAUCGAAACAAAGAAACUGCGUCCGUACGUGUAGAGAUUCCCUUUGGUAGUAAAGGUGAAGUCUACUAAUAAGUCAUAGUAAGCGGCCUGGAUGUCAGAAAUAAGAAGUCCACUAAUAAGGACUGGCUGCAAAAUUUGAUCAUCUGUAACACCUUUGAAAGAUAUAUUACCAAUACAUGCUGGUAGCAAGCCUGAAAGCUUGUUAUGAGAAAAAUCAAGUAUCCUCAAGUACAUGAGUCUGCACAGGUUUGGAGUGAUCUGCCCUUCAAACUUAUUUCCGCCCAACAAAAGUAGCCUAAUGUUGUCAAGAUAAUGUACCCAAUUUAGGUUGCCCGUGAACUGAUUGUGUCUGAUAUCCAAAGCAAUUAGACUUGAUGUGUUGAAAAGGGCAAAAGACAUAUCGCCAGAUAAAGAGUUCCCUGUAAGUUUAAGAAAAUUCAGCACUAUGAAGCAACUGUCUGGUACAGACCCUGUAAGGUUGUUGCGCGACAGAUCUAAAAGGCGAAUUCUUGUGAAGUCACAGAUGUGUUGAUCAAAUUUGCCUGUUAUAUGGUUGUCAGCAAGAUUCAGGGCCACCAAAGAAGACAUACUCCAAAAUGAUGUAUCGAGUUCGCCAGACAGCUCGUUAUCAUGCAAAUCAAUGACAUUUAGAGAAUAUGCUGCCAGAUCACGAGGCAAUGUCCCUGUAAAUUUGUUACCAUCCAAGCACAAUUUCUUUAUAUUGGACAGAUUAUUCAUCCCACCAAAAAUCGGACCACCAAGCCUGUUGUUCGAGACCUUCAAGGUGGAUAGCCCGGGAUAAUUAGUAAAAACACAAGCUGGAACCUCCCCAGAAAGUUUGUUGUUUGAUAGGUCUAAAAAUGUCAUGGAGCUGAUCUCACACAUUGGCGUUGGUAUGUGCCCAAACAAGUCGUUACUAGACAAAUCUAGAUCAGACAAAUUUGGAAACAUUGAGCUGAGGUUGGCCGGCAACUGUCCUGUGAUAUGGUUCAUGGCUAUGUUGAUAUCCGUGAGGAAAGAUUGGGCAUGCCAUAUUGGGUCUAGCGAUCCAGUUAACGAGUUAUUCCCAAGAUAUAGUUGUUGUAGUUUUGUUUCCUCUGUAAACAACCAAUUGGGCAUGCUGCCUGACAAGUUAUUGCUGGACAAAUCAAGCACCUCUAAAUGAUGCUGUGUGAGUAAAAAAUGUGGUUCUGCAAUAAUGUUCUUGUUAAGGUCACAGCCAGAGAGCACUAACUGUUUCAAUUGGAAUGAAGGUGUCCAUCCAGGAAUAUUGAUGUCAAUAACUAGGUUACCAUUGCCUGAAAGGUCUAUCUCUUCUAGCUUUGUGAGGUUUUGAAGCCAAAUGAAAGAAAGUUUACCACUCAAAUUAUUUUGGGAAAACCGAAGACUCUUAAGGGACAAUGAAAGAUCCGAAGAUGAAUUUAUAAGAAUUUGUCCUCCGAGCAAAUUCGUCGAGAGGUUCAACCGUUCGAUAUGUGGAAGCGAGAACAAGAAUUUUGGAAUGUUUCCGCUGAAUUGGUUGGAACUCAAAUACAACUCUCGUAGGUUCUUGAGGAUUUCAAAUGCUGCAGAAGUACCAAAUCAUGUAUUAAUAAUUACUCAUAGAAAACAAUGGUGACACCAUCUUUACUGAUAUAAGCAGGAAAUGCUCAUUAUAGGAGGACUGUAGGAGCACCUUGUACAUUCGGAAGAGCUCCACUCAGCUUAUUAUGUUCAAGAUGUAAGACUUCAAGUGGAACUGGUUCCGAAGAUAAAUGAAUAGGGAAAUCUCCCUCGAAUUCAUUAUAUGAGAGAUCUAGGAACUUCAGAUGAGGAAGUGAAAAUAUUGACACAGGGAGGGAUCCGCUGAAUAGGUUGCUAACCAAAUGCAAGUUCCUGAUGUUUUUAAAGGCUGUGAUGCAUGUAAGUAGUACAGUUAGUACAGGUGGCACAAAAUUAAAGUAGGGAGAUUGAAGUAUGAAACACGAUGUCUCAUUUUUUAAUGUAAGAUAGAUAUUUUUACCUGAGAGAGUUCCGUUGAGGCGAUUAAAACUGAGAUCUAGGACUUCAAGUGACAUUGGACCCGAGAAUGAGCUUAUUGGAAUAUGCCCAUCGAAGUCAUUAAGGGAGAGAUCUAGGAUCUUUAGGUGAGGAAGUGCAAAUAGCGAUGCCGGGAGGCUUCCGUUCAAGCUAUUCCAAUACAUGCUCAUUCUCAAUAGCUGCAAUGUGUGUAGGCAUGCGAGACGAGUUUAUGAAUAUGCAACUUUGACGUCUACCUUAGUAUUCUACUAUAUAAUUAAGCACAAAUCUGUACCUGCGCUUGGAAGACCUCCGGUCAUGUGGUUACCGUCGAGAACUAAGACUUCUAGUGAAACAAUUUGCCCAAUAAAUUCUGGGAACCCCCGUCCCCAUGCACUGUUACUGAAAUCGAGAUAUCGAAGCUUGGCUAGUCCAAGCAAACAUGCAGGUGUUUUAGUUUGUACAACAAUGAAAAUAAGUCACCGCACAUACAUAUUGUUCUAAAAGAAAAGGAGAAUUUGGAGUACAAAUGUACCUUCCAAGGCUAGCGAACAUGGAUAAUUGUAUGACAGAUCAAGGUAUUGAAGUUCAUGUAAUGCAGAAAACACCGUCGAGUUUAGAUGCCAACUCUCUUCUGAAUUAGUUACAUAUACAGAGGAAAGGUUGAGAUGAGACACCCGCUGUGUUGUAUCGUCGCAUUUCACGCGCUCCCACGAGCAGCAGUCAUCACCAUCCUCCCCCCAUGAAUCAAGCGCACUCAGGGAAUGCGCUCUUACCAGAGAAGACCGGAUGUCCAGUAGAGAAGCCCUCUCCUCCAGGAAGCAGCCAGAGGACAAGUGAAACAUGGACUGUAACAAGAGAAACAACGCCAAAGACAAUGAUCCCCAUGGCAAGCAGCUAACCAUAUCUGAUAAUAAGCUUUUCCUUCUCCUGUACAUUUAGGUAGCUAGACUUUGGGAGAGAAAUGGUGAGAUUUACAGUUCUGCAUGCUUGGCUUUUAUCUUUCGCUAGCUUCUUGGUACUAACUGUAGACAAGAACAUGUCAGGAAUACGAGACAAGGAGUACGGCUUGGCACAGGCGGUCAGUUUACAUGGACCGAGUCAUUGGCAAUCAUCAUCAUCCACAGCAAAUCUUGUUGUAAAUAUAUUUCGAUGCACUCUUGACCAGUGGAUGGCCAAUUAGUUGCAGCCGGCAUUAGGUGCCGGCUAGAUUGUUUCCUUUUUUUUGACAGCAAAUGCCGGCUAGACAUUUCAAGUUCUAAAGACGUCAUGUGGGGGCCCAAGGGAGUAUGUUUCUAGAGAUACCAGACUACAUUUUUUUUCAAUAAAGAGAGUAUAUAUUAAUAUCAAGAAGAUAUGGUUACAUUCAAUAUGUACACCAAGGAAGCUAGUCAAGACAUAGAGAAUGCACACUGUCAAAGUAUCACGAAAGGAAAAGAAAGCAAUUAAUGUUUCUUUGAAGGAUCCAGCAAUUUGCUGGCUUCAUUUGAUUUAGCAGAUAGCACAUGGGAAACACAUGGUGUCGAUGAUCUUUGACACUCACGAACCCCCNNNNNNNNNNNNNNNNNNNNNNNNNNNNNNNNNNNNNNNNNNNNNNNNNNNNNNNNNNNNNNNNNNNNNNNNNNNNNNNNNNNNNNNNNNNNNNNNNNNNNNNNNNNNNNNNNNNNNNNNNNNNNNNNNNNNNNNNNNNNNNNNNNNNNNNNNNNNNNNNNNNNNNNNNNNNNNNNNNNNNNNNNNNNNNNNNNNNNNNNNNNNNNNNNNNNNNNNNNNNNNNNNNNNNNNNNNNNNNNNNNNNNNNNNNNNNNNNNNNNNNNNNNNNNNNNNNNNNNNNNNNNNNNNNNNNNNNNNNNNNNNNNNNNNNNNNNNNNNNNNNNNNNNNNNNNNNNNNNNNNNNNNNNNNNNNNNNNNNNNNNNNNNNNNNNNNNNNNNNNNNNNNNNNNNNNNNNNNNNNNNNNNNNNNNNNNNNNNNNNNNNNNNNNNNNNNNNNNNNNNNNNNNNNGUCUCCGGCGACGGUGCGCCUCGGCGGGCGGUGCCCCGGUGUAGAUCGGGCGCAGGCGUGGCGGCGGCCCGGCCCUUUGGUGGCGGUGGCGGCUGGCGGCGCGGGGUUGGCCGGCGGAGCCCUGCAGGCCCAGAUCUGUGCCCUUCUGGGCUCGAUUUGGGCAAGGGCGGGUUGGUCUGGCCUCCGGCGGGUCGCCUCCGACUGGGCUGGCGAGAUGCAGACGUUGGGAUCGGCGGCGCUGCGCUGCGUCGGCAGGAGCUUAGUGGGCCCGAUUUGGGCCCGGCUGGGCAGGGGGUCCGGCGUGCUCCUGCUCCUGCGUCUGGUCUGCUACUGCGUGUGCCAGUGGAGGUUGUCCCCUCCCACGUGGCUGCGGUACUACCGGUCCCUAUCAUCGGUGGCCUCGUUUGGUUCGGCCGGCCUCGCAGGGUCUGUGGUGGAGAGAUGAUGGUGGUGUCCUCGUGACUGUGGUGGCGCAUGUUGGUGGGCGGUUGGCAUGGUGGAGCCGCCGGUUGGUCCUAGGUUGUGGGUAUGAGGGGUAGGGCGAAAUCCCUCUCGGGUCUGCCCGACACCGAUGCGGUGACGCCUGCGGGCGCCAUCAACCUUCUUGAAGGGCGUCGGGAGUACCUCUCCUCCGCUUCCCUCCGUGUAUCGGGAGAUAUCAUAGGAGUCAUCCGGGCAGCAGCGUCGUCGUCGUCGCAGUCCUUCUUGAAGGUGUUGCUUGGUACGCGGUGACUCGGUGGCAUUGGAGCGUGGGGGAUGUGUCCGGUGGGCGCAACGGUUGCGGGAUACUACAGCUUUCGUUGAUCCGGUGCUGCUGGCAUUUCUUUCUCUUGUUUUUCUCUUGUUUUCCUUUUGGGCGUGAUUGUGUUGUUUGCCCCAGAGUUGGACUUCUUGUUGUAUCGGGUGGUUGCUAUAUUAAUAUAGCGGGGCGAAAGCCUAUUUCGUCAAAAACAUGGUGUCGAUCAAGUGAUCAUGGUAGAGCGGAGAGAAGAGAAUGAAAGGAGAAAAAAUAAGAGAAAGGGGAAGAGGGGAAACAUGUGCCCUCUAUCUCAUAACAUCAACCAGGAAUGGUUGCAACUCUAGAGUAACAGGAGUGGUGCUCCAUUUCAAACAGGUGACACAUCAAGGAAGAGAACGACACACGAGCAGCGCCGUCGUAGGAUACAACCAUUGGGAUGAGAUCAGAUCAUGGGUUUCACCCCGAAGAGAAGUCUGAGAACCAUUCCCAGGGUCUACCAUGGAAGGUCGGACAUAGAGUUUCCCCUGGAACCCAACACUCAAAGAGCACCACCUAUCAGAAAUCGUCCUGCGCUUCCACCACAUGAUGAUCCAUCAACGCAUAGCUGCACACACCUGCAAAGUACAAACGUGAAUCUCAUAACGCAAUUGGGACCGCGCCCAUGAAACACAUGUUGUCGUGUUGUGCCUAACAAAGUCAGAUAUCGACGUCGAUCCCAUGACACCGAAUCCAGACCACCCACAUAGAGACGAAUUAGGCUAGUCACGCACACGUGAUUUUUUUAAACUCUAAAGACCGUUUUGCAAACAGACCGGAGAGAACUGGUUGGUUUUUGUACAAACUAGGAGAAAAACCAGAAUCGAUUGAACUGGUGACAGGCACAUUGUUAGUUUGAAAGAGAAAAACAAACCGCAAAGGCUAGGAAUCAAACCAUGGUCGCCAGGGGAACAUGCGAAGCCUUCGGCUUGGCCCAAGAACCGCUUGGCUUCGAUUGAUUAUGUGUCAAAAUUAAGGAACUUAUCUUAUUUGACCUCGUUGUAUUACUAUAUUAGCCUACAAAACAAAUUUUUUAUAGCCUAAUAAAAACCCAGCAAACGAACAAGUGAACGAGUGGUCUGACUGGUGAAAACCUGGACCGACAGGCUCACCAGUUCGGUCACCAAUCCAGUUUGUAAGACUAUGCUUAUGUGCGGAGUGAUAUAUAUGCACUACCAUGGGGGUGUAUUAUAGACCCAUUUGUUUACCCAAUUUUUUGGUGGGCUGCAAGAAAUAUAUCCUUGUGGAGGUGAUCUUUCCUGUUGUGGGGAUUGCUGAGUUUUCCUAGGCAAUGUGGAAAACCCGCACCAAAACUUGCUUUGAAAAAAUAUUUUAACAUAAGCUCCUGUUGAGCUGAUGUCUAAUAUGUAUGAUAUUUUCAUCCAUGGGAAAGUUUGCAAAUGGAUGCUGGCAAAAGAAACUUGCUUGAAGGGGUGACGACACCUCAGCACACGUGGUGUAAGCUCACAAAGCGGCGUAUGCAUCAAUAGCUGGUACAACCUUCAAAUGAGGGGGCGGACGAAGAAACUUCAUAUGAGGAGUAUGAUGAGGAUCAGGUUCUUCAGGCAUGGUGUCAUGCUGGAAGAGUGACCGGUUGCGUUCGUUGCUGCUUGUGGUUAAUAUCUGUUGGGGGCCAUGUGCCCUCCCAUGUUCCAUCCCUCAUCUUAAUUAUUGCACUUGUAGGGUGAGAAUUGACACGACGAUGUCAAUGUUGGAGAUGUCUUGAGAUAAAGUGCGCGACACACCAUUUUGCUUGCUAUAAGCAUUUGGAUGCGAUAAAAAAAACUUGUUAGUGACAGUUUAGAGGAUUUACAGUCGAACAAACAUAUCAUGUCAGUCACGUUCAUAAGACAAGGUAUCAACAAACGAGGACCGUCUUGGCUGCUUGUUCUGGCGGUUGUAGUGGUCAUUCAGUGGUCUCGGAAUCUCCAUGUAAUUUUUAUUAUGUUUGAGAUGGUUUGUACUUCCGGUGAACUUUUAUAAUAGAUCUUGUUUUUUUUUUGCAAAAAAAUGUACACAUAUGGCAAAUUGAGAGAGCCUUUGUGUUUUGGAGACACAAAUCAUGUGAAGAAUUAUUGAGCUUACAUAUACCAUUAACCGUGUUCAUUUGGAUGAUAUAAGUGGUAUGUUGUUAGCUAAUGUGCCAUUUGAGCAACCCUUGCUAACUAUGCUCACACACUCUGGCUGAAUCACUGCACCACUCUAAUGGGUGGAAAUUUUUUGUCUUAAACAAUUUUUCAGAAGCCUGAAGUUGCGUCUUAAGCUGGAAAGUGAGUUAGAAUUACAAGUUCAAGGAUGAAAGGUGGAUCUUUCACUCCUCUCUUACUCUUGUUUUUCAAAUGUAUAACCAUGACAUAGCAAUGAAAUCAAUGAUUUUUUCCUACGGCGUUUUCGAAAUAUCUAAAGGAAUGGUAACAUAAAAAUAGUACAAAAACCAAUACACACGGUAGAGUUAUUUAUAUUGAUAUCUCAUUAUUAAAACCAUCCUUCCAAAUUAUUUUCCAAACCAUCCAAACAUUGAUAAAAAUAUAUUCAAACAAAAUGAUCCACGCCUUAUAUUAUUUUUCAUCUAUAUACAAUUUUCAACUAACGGAAAUCAUGUAAAUUCUGCAAUUGAAGUUUUUGACGAUUUUCGUCAACGUGUAUGUUUUCACAACUCAUAUUUUAAAAACAACAUGUAGCCUGACCAAGGAAAUCUAGGGUUCCUUCUCUGCUGUCACCCAUCCGUCGCCUGUAGAUCGUCGACCUCCGCCAACUCUGUUGGUGGGGGUGUGCCGAGGGAGGCCUGAAUAUACCGAUUGGAGGUGUGGUCACCCUCACUUUGGGGGCAUUAGGACCCUACUUGUCCACCACUUCACCUCUUUCGAUGAUGGUCACGGCGAUGUUUAAUAAUGGUUUCUCUGACUUCUUUUUCAACCCUGGCGAUGCAUGCGUCGUCGGAUCUAGCAAUGAGAUCGUCUGGAUUAUUUUUCAUCAUAUUUAACAAUGAGAUCAAGUGUUCAUAUUUGAUUUGCCUUCCUCUUUGUGGAAACAUUGGGGGGCGGGGGUUGGUUGGUUGUGUAUUCGCCGGGUUAGUGAUGCUUCUGCAGCAAUGACACCGAUCUGGUUAUUCCAUCUGACUCUAGCGGACAUGUAGGUAUGAUCCAUUAUCAUUUUCUUAUUUGAAGGGUAUAUCCUUUAGAAUUGACGUCAUUGGCCUUUCAGGCAGUCCGACGACACCAUGUAACUCUAAUGACAUCAACAUCAACACGCAUUGGCGUGUGUGGGAUUGAGUGGAUGGAGGAUUCCUCAUGACUAACAGCCUGUUCAGAUCGAAAGUCAUCUUUUGAUCCCGAGCUCAUAUGCCCCCGCAUGAACAGUAAAAUCGAAAAAAAUUCAAAAAAUUCCAAUUUUUUUUUGAGAGAAACUUUGACAAAAGUUCUAAGUGCCUGCAAAAAUUCAUCAUGAAAUCACAUUCCUGUAAGGCGUGGCAAAAAAAACAAAUUCAGUGCUUCAAAAUGCGUUUGGAAGUAGCUUUUUCAGAAUACUGUUUUUGUUUUUUUUGCCACGCCUUCUAGGAAUGUGAUUUCAUGACGAAUUUUUACAGGCACUUGGAACUUUUAUCAAUGUUUCUCUCAAAAAAAUUUGGAAUUUUUUAUUUAGUUUUGAUUUUACUGUUCACCCGAGCUCAUUUGAGCUCGGGAGCAGAUUAGCCGCGUCCAACCCUUUGCUUUCGUCAAAUCCCUGACUCCACUCCCCGCUCCUAGGUUGGUAACUCCCCACAACAAAUCGGGAGUUGACAACUUGUUUGGCAGCAAACCCACUCCGCACUGGCUUCCCACGAUGUACCAAUUUUUGUCGCUCGUCUUCCUAAUUUUUUGUUUUUUAACACAGUACAGACGCAAGCGCUCAUACAUACAUGCAUACACCCACCCCUAUAAACACACACGCACACCCUACCAACCAGCAUAUCAUCUUGAGAUUUACAAAGUCACCGUUGGCAGACUUGAACCCUGAUGGGGUGGGGGUACAACUAUCCCUCCAACCAUCCAACCACUUGAUGGUUCGCCCUAAUUUUUGUCGUUGAUGCUAGGUAUCAUAGCACAUUAGCACGCAACUUGGUUAAUUUUGUGUUCUAAAAAAUUGGUUCAUUUCGAAAUUCAGUAACAUUUCGUCACACAACUAGUAAUAAGUACAGUAACAAAUUGGAUUAUUUUUAGAUGAAAGUAUGCCGAGUUCCUGACACGACCGGCACUGUCCAGCCUUCGUUAUCCAGUCUGUCGAGUUGACCUACGCCCACGCCGCCGCCGACGAUGUCGGCACCAGCAGCUCCGCCGUCGCCGACGAUGUCGGCAUCCAAUCCCAUCUGUCAGGCCGCGAUAUCUGAAGACUAGUAUUCAGUUAACUGUGGCAAUUCCGGCACAUACCGAUUCAGUCAUUCCAACGGCCCAGGAGACUCCUCAAGCUACUUUCGUCGUUAGCCGUUAGAUUUACUUUCCGUUACUAUUACUUUUCAUGCGUUUCCGUUUACAGCGAGACACCCACCUACUUAACAGCCGGGUUGUGGCUGAGCUGGGCAUUGAAUCUUCCAGAUUUCCCUUCGAGGAUGAACCGUAAACUUAUACGGCACAGCCGAUAGCAAUAUAGAACCCAGAUCGGGGCCUCUUUCCUCGCAAUUCUCUGAAAUUCGUCCAUACAAAUCCCUUCUCUCAACCCGUAGAGUAACUAGGUCCUGACAAAUUGGCAUCAGAGCAGUGGUUCCUCGGUAGCUUCCGAUCGGAUCUCAAAUUUUCUCAAGAGAGGCAAGAACACCCACCCAAUUCCCUCCCUGUGUUGUGUGAUAAUGGUGGGCGGCGAUCGACGCGAGCGGUGAAGGUGUUCCUUCACUGCGACGUCAGGCGGUGGCGGAUCAAGGGCGGCGCAGGCGGCAGUGAUCGUUCGGGUGCAGAUCAGUAGCGCGGAGUGGUUGUGCUGGAUCACUUCCAGCAAAGUAAAAUUCCACGUCCUUCGCUGAUCCGUGUACCUUGGGAGGUGUGGAGCUUUGGCGGCGGCAGGAUCUGGACUGGAGAGGCUGGUUGCCGCAUCUGCGGUGGUAAAAUUCCCCCUCUCUUCUCUGGGUCAAGGUGAUGGGGCCCUCGAAGGCAGUUGAUGAGGCCGAGUGGCAGGAGGUUCUCUCUCUCUCUCCGAGAUGAGUUUGGUGCAGUUCAACAGGAAAACGCAGCGAUGCGAACAGAUGUGUCCAAAUUACAGGAAGAUGUUCAGUCGAUCAGUUCCAAACAAGGCGAAAUAGCUCUGCAAGUUGGAGGGAUUGAAAGAGUUGUGUUAGAUCUGGGGAAACAAUUGUCCACAAUGAGUUCAGUCUUGCAGAAAUUGGUGGCUCCAUCUGGGUCAGGAACUGGAGCUGAGAAACAACCUGAAGCUGACACUGUUGUUAGAUCACCAACGUUGCAACAGCAACAGCAGGACAAACCACCUAGCAGAACUGAGCAGUUGAGACAACAGUUAGAAGCAGAAAAGGAAAAGACCAGACAACUAGAGGAAUUACAAAUGCAGUAGUUACUUCCAAUCAGAACUGGCAGAACUGCAGCACCACCUGGAUUUGGAGCUCAUGCAAAUUUGGAAACAGCAAGUGCCAUUGGAACACCAGCAACACAGAGAAGGGGAGGCCAAACUCAUGUUUUCCAACAGUAUCAGCAACCAGCUCGAGACAGAUAGUUAUGGCAGGGCUACUUCAGAACGUAUGAGCAGGAUAUGCAGGCUCAGUUCAUGAAAGCAAUGACAAAAGGCCCGAGGAUGGAUUUUCCUAGAUUCUCUGGUGAAGAUCCUGUGGGCUGGAUUCGACAAUGCAACAAGUAUUUCCAAAUGGCAGCAACACCCGUAGAGUACAAAGUAUCACUCUCUCAAAUGUACAUGACAGGAGAUGAUGAUGUAUGGUUGAGGAGAUCUGGUUUACUCAAGAAACAAUUGUCAUGGCAAGAAUUUGGAAAAGAAAUCAUCAAAAGGUUUUCUGCCCAAGGCUCUUAUGACCUCACUGAAAAAUUUGCUUCUCUGAAACAAGGAAGCACUUCAGUGUCAGAGUACACCAAGCUGUUUGAGGAUUUAAUGGCUGAAUUGCAGGAGGAAAACCCCACAUUAUCUGAACCCUGGUUUAUAAAGUGCUAUGUUAAUGGGAUGAGAGAUGGAAUUAAGUACCAAUUGAGACUUCUUAGACCCACUUCUUUAACUGAUGCUUACUGUUUGGCAAAAGAGAUUAAACCUUGUCACCCUCCUCCUGUGACAAAUGUUAAGAAGUCAACAACCCCUUACAACAACUAUUGGCAAAAAAAUGUAGUGCCUACAGUAGGGAAAUAGGUGAUCAACACUGCAACAGUUCCAACAACUAGCAACACAAAGAGCACUGAACAUGUGAACAGUCAAAUUUAGAAAAUCAGAAAAGCAGGGGAAUGUUGGAGGUGUGGAGAUAAAUGGGUCCAUGGCCAUAAAUGCACUUUAGUUCCUAAUGUGCGCAUGUUACAGCAAGAAAUGGAAGAAACUGGUCCAUAUGAGACAGAUAAUUACCAACAGGAAGUAAUAGAGGAAGGGACAGAACAGCAGGAGCAAGCAAUGUUUAUCUCGGCACAUGCUAUGGGCCAGCAGCUUGCUGUACAAUCUCCUACAGUAAUUGUCCAUGUAAAUGGUAAAAGAGCAGUAACACUACUGGAUUCAGGGAGUUCAACCUCUUUUAUCAGUGAGCAGUUUGCAAAUCAAACUGUCAAUUACUCCCUGUCAGGCCUAGAAAGGUCUCUGUAGCUGGAGGAGGCCUGCUACUUUCCACUGCUGUAGUACCCAACUGUGCCUUUCAGCUAGCCAAACUGAAGUUGGAACAUUCUUUCAGAAUUCUCAACCUCCCUAGUCAUGAUAUGAUUCUAGGUUAUGAUUGGUUUUCAUUGGUUAGUCCUAUGGCUUUUGAUGUGCCUCACAACCAGUUCAGCUUCACUCUCCAAGGUAAAACAACAGUAACAAUGGCAGUUUACAAUUCUAGUGAGGAAAUUUUGGAGAUACUAGCAAAACAAGUCACUAAACUAUUGGACAAGGGUGUGGAAACUUUUCUUCUCCAAAUUCACAAUAUAGUGGCUCAAACUCCUGAUAAGCACUGUAUACCAGCUGCAAUAAACAACUUGUUACUGGAAUAUAAGGAUGUUUUUGCAGAACCAUUACCUCCAAAAAGGGAAUUAGAUCAUAAAAUUCCCUUGAUGUCAGGAGUUGAACCACCCCAUGUCAGGCCAUAUAGAGUACCUCAUCACCAAAAGGAAGAAAUGGAGAAGCAAAUUAAACACUUACUGGAUAAUAAACUCAUAAGAAAUAGCCAGAGUCCAUAUGCAACCCCUGUUCUUCUAGUUAAAAAGAAAGACAGUACUAUGAGACUUUGUACUGAUUUCAGAAGGCUGAACACUGUGACAGUGAAGAACAAAUUCCCUAUACCAGUAAUUGAGGAUUUGCUGGAUGAGUUGCAUGGAGCAAAGGUUUUCUCUAAAAUUGACUUAAGGUCAGGAUAUCACCAGAUAAGGAUGGACCCUGCAGACAUUCAUAAAACUGCAUUCAGAACUUUUCUGGGACACUAUGAAUAUUUGGUGAUGCCCUUUGGAUUAUCUAAUGCACCAGCAACAUUUCAGGCUCUCAUGAAUCUUCUAUUUUCUAAAUACAACAGAAAGUUUGUACUGGUAUUCUUUGAUGAUAUCCUAGUAUUUAGCAAUACUAUAGAAGAGCAUGUGGAACAUUUAUGGCAAGUGUUGCAAAUCUUGAGAGAAAACCAGCUAUUUGCAAAGAUGUCCAAAUGUGCAUUUGCAGUUCCUCAGGUGGAGUAUUUGGGACAUGUGGUUUCUGGUGAAGGACUAGCUACUGAACCCAGCAAGAUCAAAGCAAUUGUGGACUGGCCUACACCUACUGACAUCACUAAAUUGAGAAGUUUUUUGGGUUUAGCUGGCUACUACAGGAAGUUCAUCAAAUAUUAUGGGACAAUUUGCAGGUUCAUCAAAGAUUAUGGGACAAUUUGCAGACCAUUACAUUAUGCUCUUAAGAAAGGAAAAUUUCUGCGGAUAGUUGACCAAGAUAAAGCUUUCAGAAAACUGCAACAAGCUUUAGUUACAGCUCCAGUUCUAGCUCUGCCCAAUUUCAAUGUCCCUUUCACACUGGAAACUGAUGCCUCUGGUUAUGGUAUUGAGGCUGUACUUAUGCAAGAGGGCAGACCAUUGGCAUAUUACAGCUCUUCACUCUCUUCCAGAAAUGCUGCUCUAUCUACUUAUGAGAAAGAAGCUUUAGCAAUUUUGGAAGCUUUAAAGAAAUGGAGGCACUAUUUAUUGGGCAACUCUGUAAUCAUCAAAACUGAUCAGCAGUCCUUGAAGUUCAUUACUGAUCAAAAGAUUACUGAGGGAAUACAACACAAAUUAAUGAUGAAAUUGCUGGAGUUCAAUUUCACAAUUCAGAAACACCAUCUGCAAACAUCAAAUUUACGUCUCUGUGGAGUUUUUACCCUCACAAAAUCCAGAUUACCUUAUUUUAAGGGCAGCCCACCGAAAAUGUUGCUUGGGACCAUGGUCCACCCGAACCCACGCUCAGAACCACUCAUCCUAGGACACCGCGUAUGGGGAUAUGUGCAUGGUUGGUAAAGUAUUGCAUGGCGGGAACAAUUUAGGGCGAUGGUGGAAACAGUUUAGUGAGGAUUAGAAGCACUGCAUGUGCUAAAUAAUCCUAUUUGAUCCUAGUAGCUAAUAAAAUAGUCAUGUUGCAUUGGGCAAUGAAAUGUUAUCUGCCAUGCACAACCACUGUUCACUAUUGUUUAUUGCCUCGUUAUGCCAUGCACAACCACUGUUCACUAUUGUUUAUUGCCUCGUUAUGCCAUGCACAACCACUGUUCACUAUUGUUUAUUGCCUCGUUAUGCUCGUCGAGCUCUGUUUCCAACACAUGCAUGGAUGCAACUAAAAGUAGUAGAUAAUUUUUCAUAGUUAUAUUUGUGGCUCUUUUUUCUUCAAUUUUGUAUCCCAUGAAACUUACAAUUUUCCUGUACAUGAUUGAUGACCUACUGAUCAGACAUAUAGCAAAGCCAAUAAUAUGUAAAAGUUUUAGUUGCUGAACAGAUAAUUAGAUAAUUUUUCGUAGUUGAUGUGUCUACAUCUCUUUCUUCCAAAAAUCAGUACUAAUUUCCUACAUAAUAUUGUAUUGAAAGUAUUAUAAGUACAUGCUAGAUUUCUCUCACGUAACAUAUCGCUAUUCAAUUUUAGAAAAAUCUAGACAUUUUACAUAUGCUUAUCAAAGACUUCAAAAUAAUUCUUUUGUAGCUGCUAUGCAUGAUAAAUCGCCAUUUGGUGCAUAGGUGUGAUAGGUAUGUACCUAGAGACAUGUGCCAACCCAUCUAGUCUGAAAUAAAAAAAUAGCUAGCCCACGCAGGCCUAGGGUGUGCUUAUAAGCAGAUAGGUUAACGUGAGCCUGGAGAGGUUAAGAUUUAACAGAAAAUUUGAACGCAAAAGAGGCACAUAUCCACACGUGGAAAGGUUGGAAAUCGUAUGGUCUCACUAGUAGAAAACAGGGCUUUGGUUCGGCCAGAAAAGAGCAUUAAUCCCGGUUGCAUUACGAACCGGGACUAAUGUGAGCAUUAGUCCCGGUUCGAGCGGCUAGGGCACCGUACAGGCAUUAGUCCCGGUUCAAAUGGGACCUUUAGUCCCGGUUGAUGCCACGAACCGGGACUAAAGGGUGCGAUGCCCAUUAGUACCGGUUCGUGGCACCAACCGGUACUAAAGGUUAGACCUUUAGUCCCGGUUCGAGCCACCAACCGGUACUAAAGGUCCCAUUUUCAAACUCUACCCCCCUAUCGCCUUUUCAGUUUUGUAAAAAGCAAACAAAAAAAGAUAAAAACUUCAGAAAUUAAAAUCCUUCCAGAUGUAGUUAUGUUACUACAUGUACUAGUUAGGAAAAUUUAAAUACUUAAAUUUGGACAUGUUUUGCAAAUGGUGUAGGGAAAAUGUAAAACGGCUAUAACUUUUGCAUACGAUGUCAGAAAAAAACGUAUAAUAUAUCAAAAUGUUCAGCACGAAAAUCCGCAUCCGAUUUUGACAGCCUAUGGCCUGUUUGCAAAUUUUUAGAAUCCUCAAAUUCUAAAAGGAAAAAAAGUUAUGCUCAAAUUUCUGUUUUUUUUUGAAUUUUUGUUAAAUCUGGUCAAACUAUGGUCAAACUACUUAUUCAAGAAGUAUUAGUGUUACUAAAUAAUUAUUCAAGAAUAUUAGUGUUAUUAAAUAAUUAUUUCAGUUUUUUUGAAUUUUGGUCAAAUCUGGUCAAACUGUGGUCAAACAAUGGUCAAACUAAUUAUUCAAGAAAUAUUAGUGUUACUAAAUAAUUAUUUCAGCUUUUUUGAAUUUUGGUCAAAUCUGGUCAAACUGUGGUCAAACUAUGGUCAAACUACUUAUUCAAGAAAUAUUAGUGUUAUUAAAUAAUUAUUGUUUUUUAGAACAAUAGUUUCAAACUCAAACAGUGAAAUGUGUGACUUCAUGCUCAAGCUAAAUUCCUGAGGGUUAAUAGGAUUGACAUCUUACUAUUGUCAAGAAAACAACAAGUGAAGACUUGGAAACGAGGGAGAAUAGAACCCGGAAGUUAAGCGUGCUCAGGCUGGAGUAGUGAGAGGAUGGGUGACCGUCCGGGAAGUUAGAUGAUUUGGAAUGAUGAGGGUGAUUAGAGAUUAGAGGUUAAAUUGAGCAGUGAUGAGGGGUGAUUAGAGAUUAGAGGUUAAAAUAAUUCUGAAAUUUGAAAAUAAAAAAAAUUCAAAAAAAUAUUUCAAAAAAAAAUCAUAAAAUUUCCUUUAGUACCGGUUGAUGUUACCAACCGGGACUAAAGGUGGACCUCCAGGCAACGGCCACAUGGAGGGCCUUUACACUUUAGUCCCGGUUCCAGAACCGGGACUAAAGGCCCUUAUGAACCGGGACUAAAGACCCUUUUUCUACUAGUGUCUGGACCAUGGGUUCGGCCGAACCAUGGUCCUGAAAAUCGCCAUAUUAGGCAAAUCAAUUUUCAUGUUGUUACUCAUUUACAGACAGCUUCUGGAGGCAUCCUUUUAAGCAUGUAGUUUCUACCAAAUUGCAGAACUGUGUCUGUGCCUCUAUGGCGUAAAAUAUAACGGUUUAUGCAUGCAUUUUUGUUGUUUAAGUAUAACCAUCCACAGAUACACCCACUUUUUUUCUGGCUACCGUUUGGAAACCAUUUAAUUAGAUCUACCAAUAUUCCAUUUCCUCAUCUUCAAUUUUUAGAUUUUUUUGCUUGUCACUUUAGUUAUGUAUCUAGUGUAAGGUAUUACACGACCAGUCUGUUCCCUAACUAUCUUUUGUGUGUGAUUCAGAAAGGUUGGAUCAAGACAUCAGCGGAAUUGGGGCUACUAAUUGUGACCAUUCUUUCCAGUGUUCAUGCGUUUCAAUGUGGGUCAGUUCAUCUUGUCCGGUAAGGAAGGAUCUUCUUAAUCACUGUUUCAUUGCGUGCUAAGGGGGAAACUAGGAAUCACUUUGUUUCAGAUGGAAGCCAUCUUUUCUUGUUUUGUCUUUACACUACAUCUGGGUUGCCAUUACUCAUUUUAUAUAAAUCUUCUCAUGUGUUCACUUACUUUUAAUAUUCUUUAGUAGGACUGGUUAGUGAAGUAAAAAGAAUUCCACAGCAAUGUUGAAUGUGCAGUCAUCUGGUGACUGAUAUCACACAUUAGGCUUUAUUUGUACUCUUGGACACUCGGAGCCUACUGAGGUUCAGGGGUAUUUGCAGUGUUAAAUAUUAACCUUUGUGUCUGUUACUCAUGUGAAUAAAUUUCACUCGGUAUAGAGUAUUGAAUGUUCACACCAACUGUUUGAAUCUAAUUAUCUAAGAUACAUAUUGACUUAAAUAUUAAACCUUGUGUCUAGUGCUCAUAUGAAUAUAUUUUUACCCGGUAUAGAGUAUUGAAUGUUGUUGCCAGCUGUUUGAAUCUAUAUCCAAGUUACAUAUUGAUUUUCACUUCAAUUGACUAGAUCAUAAAAUUGCAAACGAGUAAAUGCUGCUUUAUAGACACAAACAUUAAUUCCAAGUUUCCAACACUAUAACCACAUGUAUGUGUAGCGUUAAAUUGUCUGUGUAUUGGGUUCCAUCGUAGUUUGCCUUUAUUUAUUGUUGUUUCCAUUUCAGGUUUGUCAGUUCUGUCAGAAGCUGUCUGAAGCUCCUACAAAUCCUACAUGUUCUGUUUGCCAGACCUCUGAAAACCUCUGGAUCUGUGUGAUAUGUGGUUUUGUUGGAUGCGGAAGGUAUGCUAACACCGACUGACUGAAAGUGUACCAGAACUUGUAGUCGUCCUACUAUGGCAGGAAUGCUUAAGCAUUUCACACCUUUACAUAAUAUGCUGUACUGUUGGUCUGGUGCACUCAGUAGAAGUUAGGAAGAAAGGAAACCUACAUUGGAGCUUAACUAUAUCAUCACUUCUACUACUCCCAGACUCCCUGAUAUGUGGCUUUUAUAUGUAGUAAAAGUAGGAAACCUACAUCGGAACUUUACUAUGUCAUCACUUCUAUUUCUCCCAGACUACCUGAUACAUGUCUUUUAUGUAGUAAAUAGUUAUUUCAUUUUGACCUUUUCUCAUCAGAAGUUCAGAACUAAUAGUCGCUCUGCUAUGUGCUAUUUCAAAGCAUUUAACAUGAAACUUAACUAUAUCAUUGCUUUUAUUUCUCGUAGACUCCCUGAUACGUGUCUUUUAUGUAGUAAUAGUUAUUUUCUUUUGACCUUUUUUAUCAGAUGUUCAGAAUCCAUAGUCGCUCUGCUAUGUGCUAUUUUGAAGCAUUUAACAUGAUUAUUUAAAGAAAAACUAUGUCAGAGGUUAUUAAUUCUACUUUUGUCAACAUGCCCAAAUCAACCUUCACUUUAUUAAUUUGCCGUUGAUAGGUAUAAAAAAGGGCAUUCAAUCAGGCACUGGAAAGGCACUCAACACUGCUAUUCUCUCGAUUUGGAAACUCAGCAUGUUUGGGAUUAUGUUGGUGACAGUUUUGUCCAUCGGCUCAAUCACUCAAAAAGCGAUGUAAAGCAUGCUAAGUUCAGUUCGAAGUGUGAAUAUCCUGGGGACAACUGUGUAAACUGCAUGCACGAUGACUCAGAUAUGGGUGGAGUUAUGUUUAGCAGCAAAGCGGACACAGUAAGAGAUUUAAGUUUCUUUGUUUUGAUUCUCUGUAACACCUUCUUGGUAUUCUUGCUCCUCAAAAUCAUGUGCCCUGCUCUUCUUAACAGAUUGUGGAUGAAUACGAUCGUCUUUUAGCAAGCCAACUUGAAACUCAGCGAGAGGUGCAGUGCUCUUUCCUUUGUAGUACUAUUUUUUUGUAUGGUCACUAUCCAUUGUAUUGUUCUAGAGCUUCUCAUAUAGUUUUUCUUGGAGAUAAAUUUUGUUAUAGUUAUGUAAUAUUCUGAUCCAAUUAUAUGCGUGUGUUUGUUCAUAUUGACAGUAUUACGAAGCUCUUUUGUCAGACGCCAAGAAGGAAAGGGAACACCAUAUUUCUGUUGCUGUGGAUAAAACUAUAAAUGAUAAGCGUCAAGAGCUGCAACUUGAGCUUGAAAAUACAAUGUUGGAGAAAAAGAAAGUUGCUGAAGUGAGCUUAUUUAAAUCACGCUGCCUUUUCCAUUAUAAUGUACAACCAGUUUUCCUAUUGAUGUAACUGAUGUCCUAUGCCUUAUCCUGUAGAUGAAUGAAAAACUCACGAAGAGCCAGGAUAUAUGGCACCAGACAGUAAAAGGAAUAGAGGAAAGGUAUGUUUUGAUCUUUCCACCUGAAAAUGGUAGUAGCCGUGCAACAUUCAAGAUGUGUCAUGUGAAAGAAGUCAAAUAAUGCAUUUUUGGGGGCACAUUAUGAACAUAGAUACUUGAAAUGAUUUGCUGAACUAUAUACUUUAUGUCAUGUUCAGUCUUAUUUAGAGGUUGUUUGAAUAUUCUCCUUUCAUAUCUAUUCCAUUCUAAAAUGCCACAAGUUUCCUGUAUCCUUUUUUGAUGAUUCUGCAUUCACAGGGAGAGAGCACAGUUGAAGCUGAAAGAUGAUACGAUUCUUGACCUCGAAGAACAGGUGCCUAUAUUUUUCAUUGCUGUUUCGUGUAAAAGCUAUAAUAUCUGGAGGUGGGUUUCAGUACUAGGGGCAUUCGUUAACAUGUCCUAUAUAAUCCCUGCAGCUAAAAGACUUCAGAUAUUCCAUCAAGUUACAAAAGUCUAUGGCGAAGAGUUCACAUGCUGAUGAUCUCAAAGGAGGUAUGCUGGUGCCACUGGCCAUGGAGUCAGAUUCCGGAAAGGGUAAAAGGUCGUCAAGAACAAGCAAGAGAAGGAAUUAGUGGCGACUUUGCUAGUAUGAAUGCAUGACUCUUCACCAUUUGUUGUAUAUGCUAAGAUUCUGCAUGUUAACUUCUGACUUUGUGUGAGAAGCACAAGGUCGCUCUUUCAUUGUAGUUUCUCUCACUGUACUAAUCAAGUUCAUCUGAUACAGUCUCAGCAAGAAAAACUAGAAUCUGAUUCAAAAUACAAUUUUGUUACAUACCCAGAAAGUAAUUUCAGGAAUGCACACUACAUAACCGUAAUACUGUUUUGCAUUACAUAACUUGCAAUUUGUAAUUGUUCAAGCACUACAGCUCGAGCAUUACAGAUCUUC
rnacentral:lncRNA from 1 species